GCUUCUGUAUAUCUGGAUAGAGAGAGCGAGGAAGUCGGCGCUACAGAGCAGCCACAGGCGCGAGCCCCAAACGCUUGCUUCUGCCACCAGUUCUUCGGAGAGACUUGGAUCAGGCGGUGUUUGCAACAGAGAGAGAAAACCCGCUCUUCUCUGCGGAGGGAAGGAAUCCCAAACUCUUCCUAAGGUGGUCUGAGCCUGAAAAGCAAACCUAUGAAUUCGUGGAUAGUUUUGGCACAGAUGCACCAUUUUCAAGUGUCCCCCACACCACAUCACGGCAGAAUUUUGGUCUCCUGACUAUACCAUCCAGCUGCUUUCUAUAGAAAAGAAGUUGGAUUCUCUCAAGGAAGAUUCUAUCACCUGCAGCGGAGCACAGCACCUGAGAGAAAGGAGUAGGCCUUGCCAGAAACUUCUCAGAACACAGGAAUGAAGACUCUGAUAUCCUGCUGUGUCAUCCAGCUGACUACACAGGACCAAUGGGCUACAGACAGCACAUCUACCAUGUUGGCAGCAAAAGGAGAGCAGAGGAAUGCAGUUGGAAGAGUGACAUUUCUGGACAGGGUAAAAAAUGGUGGAUGGAAUUGGAGACGCUCAUUCAGCUGAUGUGGGAAACAGAGGGGAAGAAUUUGAAGGCACACUUUAAUUCAUGGAGGUGCCAAGUGGAAGUUUGCGGUAGAUUGAGAUUUAGAACUCAAGAUUCAAGAACUCUCCUUUGCACAUCGGAUAGUAACAGGCAUUAAAGGGUGCUCUGAAGACCUAGAAUAUGACAGAAGAAAAGAACCAUGUGUCUCAAUUCCAUAAAGAAGGGUCCUGGUUACACACAUCAAGCUGUGAUGUAUACAAGAAAUACACUUGUAUGUGUGUUAAACCACUGCAGUUUGGUGUAGUUUGCUUUUUUGCUUUACUGAUGAUUGAGAAAUUCAAAAGAAGAGAAAUCUAGGAACUGUUUCAGCAUCACUCAUCGAUUAUUAUCCCAUGCUUAAAAAUGACCAAAAUAAUAAGGAAAUGGACAAAGAAUGGAAUCACCCAGAAGGAUCAUGCAAGGAUCAUUACUGUUUUAUCAUCUGUAUGAAGAAUGGGAAUGAUUGUUGUAUAAGCAACAAAUGUUUUUUCUACUGCUGAAGAGCAGGCAAAAAAGAAGAAGAAGAGUCAGCAUGAAGACAGAGUGUACCUAAAAAGCUGGAUGCCAUCACUUACGAGUCUGCAGGCAAUGUGGGGAUUAGGAAAGGUCUCUUUGAAAGGAGCAAACAUGCGGUUCUUCACCUCACUCUACUGCUCAGAAUUGGAUGUAUACAAAUUCCAGAUUAAUACAAGCACAGUUCUACACCAGACUUCUCUAAAAAGUUAAUGACAAAAGGUAAUUGAGCAUCUUUUAUGUGAUGUUCUAUGUACACAGCAAAUAGAUUGGGCAAUUCUGAAAGUGAAGAAGAUAAAAUCAAUGCUAUAGCACCAUAUUUAAUAUGUUUGUUAUACUAAUUCACAUAGAAAUCAUAUGUAAUUGAGGAAACAAAGAUAUUCUCUUAGUUUUCAAGUUUGCACAGAGAAAGAAAAUGGGAAGUAAUGGCAAAGUCAGAGCAUAAUAUCUAUUUGUAUAAUAUGUCACAAACUUCUUCAAAUACAUGAUACUACUUCGUGCAAAAAAGGACUGUUUAUAUGAGCAGAUUUAAAAUUUUUUUACUAUUAUCAAAUGUGUCAUUGAAAUAUUUUUUCUAGUAGUAUAGAUAUAAGCUAGUAAUAAAUAUACAGAUUUAUUUAUUAGUGACAGUAGGGCCAACAGAUGAUUAUUCCUAUAGUUGUGACCACAGAAGCAGAACACUGGUGCAUAAACAAAUGUUUAACACAAUCAUUUCUUUCUAUUCUUCUUUCCAGAAUUCAAAAAUAAUGUGUUUUUAUUGAAUUCUAACUAUCAGAGAACUCAGAGAUUUAUUCUCUAAUUUUUCUUAAAAUUUUAGCAUUUCUUUUGAAGAAGGGAUUGAAGGUCCUAUGUUGGUUUCUUUCAUUAAGGAAGAAUGUUUUUCAAUCGUCUUUCACUAAAUAAAACGUAGGACCCAUGAUACAAGCAGGAUAUAAUUUUAAUUUUUUAAUGUUUAUUUAUUUUUGAGAGAGAGUGAGAGAGGUGUAGAGA